AAAGUUGAUUGACAGACCGGAAACAACCUGUCAUUGAGAGGAGGCAAGAUGGCAGCCGCGGCAGUGGCUGAGUUUCAAAGAGCCCAGUCUCUUCUCAGUUCAGACCGGAAUGCAUCUAUCGAUAUUUUACAUUCAAUAGUAAAGCGGGACAUCCAGGAGAGCGAUGAGGAGGCAGUGUGUGUCAAAGAGCAGAGCAUCCUGGAGCUGGGUGGUCUGCUGGCUAAGACGGGCCAGGCUGCAGAGCUGGGCGGUCUCCUGAAGUAUGUUCGGCCGUUCCUGAAUUCCAUCAGCAAGGCCAAGGCGGCGCGGCUGGUACGCUCGCUGCUGGACCUGUUUCUGGACAUGGAGGCAGCUACAGGCCAGGAGGUGGAGCUGUGUCUGGAGUGCAUCGAGUGGGCCAAGGCUGAGAAGAGGACAUUCCUCAGACAGGCCCUGGAGGCUCGUCUCAUCUCUCUGUAUUUUGACACAAAGCGGUAUCAGGAGGCGCUUCAUCUAGGCACCCAGCUACUUCAGGAGCUGAAGAAGAUGGAUGACAAGGCCCUGCUGGUGGAGGUGCAGCUGCUGGAGAGUAAGACGUACCACGGCCUCAGCAACCUGCCCAAGGCCCGUGCCGCCCUCACCUCUGCACGCACCACCGCCAACGGCAUCUACUGCCCGCCCAAGCUACAGGCCGCCCUGGACAUGCAGUCAGGGAUCAUCCAUGCAGCAGAGGAGAAGGACUGGAAGACGGCCUACUCUUACUUCUACGAGGCCUUCGAAGGCUACGACUCCAUCGACCACCCCAGAGCGAUCACCGCUCUCAAAUACAUGCUGCUCUGCAAAAUCAUGCUCAACCUUCCUGAGGAGGUCCAAGGUCUUGUCAGUGGAAAGCUAGCCCUGCGGCACGCCGGGAGACAGACGGACUCUCUGAAAUGCGUGGCGCAAGCCAGCAAGAACCGGUCGCUGGAGAAUUUUGAAAAGGCCCUGACAGAGUACAGAGGUGAGUUGAGAGAUGACCCCAUCAUAAGCACACACUUGACCACGCUCUAUGACAACCUGCUUGAACAGAACCUGAUCCGUGUCAUCGAGCCUUUCUCCAGGGUACAGAUAGAACACAUUUCCACCCUCAUAAAACUCUCCAAGGGAGAUGUCGAGAGGAAGUUGUCACAGAUGAUUCUAGACACAAAAUUUCACGGUAUUUUGGACCAAGGCGAAGGUGUGCUGAUCAUCUUCGAUGAGCCUGCAGUAGACACAACGUAUGAGGUGGCCCUGGAGACCAUUCAGAACAUGAGCAAAGUGGUGGACUCACUCUACAACAAAGCCAAGAAGCUCACAUAGAGGAGACCACCUGUAACCCAGCACAGAGCAUGUGAAGCACUCUGGGAUGGGGAGGGGUGUUCGGACUCAAACAACCCAGCAAGCAAAUAAACCAACUGACCAACCCACAAACUGACAUGGCUAGGCUGUCGCCCCCCCACCCCUCUUCAAUUCAGACUGGACGGCAGUCUGGGUCUGCUGGCUUUGGGCCAGAGUGGACAGAGAACGGACCACUGUCCCUGCGAACACGCCACAGGAAAAGGACACAGUCAUCGCCACACCGUUUCAUAGUUCCCAGAGCUGGGUCAAUAUUAUUUGUUUUAUCCUGCCUGGGGUACCAGGAGGGUGUGGUUUCCCUUUUUGGGACUUUUCUAUUGGUUCCAGCUCAAUCGAGAACAGAUAAAGUACCUGAUAUGAUCUCUAAUACUAUUUGAAUCCAGGUCUAAUUGUUUCCCUCCCUGCCUCUAAUUCCAAUUUGUACAUAAUGUUGCCAGAUGUCUCUGCCAGGCCUGUCAUGCUAACACUCUGCCCCCCCCCCCUUUUAAUAUAUAUAUUUAACACUAAAUGAGAAUAAAAUAAGCCCCCAGUGUGCUUUUGUGAGUGGUGGUGGAAACGAUUGACCUGGUUGUAUGGAUUGUGACUGGCUGACUGACAGGGAGAGUGAGUUGUUUUUUUAUUCCUCAUGUAUUCAAGACUGUGGCUCAUUUGCUGAAAAAUAUAAAAGCUGUAAGGUUUGGGGACUACGUUUUGCAAGGACUACUAGUCUACCAUUUCCCAUAUGACAUAGAUAAAAGACAAGUGCUAAUAAAUGUUGAAUGUCACAGCUUAAUUUUCUGUUUGGAGGAACUAAACUAGAUGGACUAUUA